CACUGCUUCGACAGUACAUAUACUAAAAUUGGAAAGAUACAGAGUUGGCCCCCGGCGCAAAGAUGACACGCAAAUUCGUGGAGCGUUCCAUAUUUUU
rnacentral:snRNA from 1 species